GUUGUGAUGUUACUUGGGUCUGAUGACCAUAAGGAAGCUCCCGGGAAGGAGCACGUUGCCACAGGUUUGAGCAGCUUCCUUUGAUUCCAGCUGUGGACUAAAGCCAUGGCCAUUGCCUGCCAAUGAGCCUCUUGAUGUCUGAUCCCUCUGAAGUCUUACUGUCAGACAAGGAGAAUGGGGUCUCAGGAAGGAAAAGGGAUAUGCCCCCUUCUGCUAUGCUGAUGAUAACGUCCUCAGGCACUCAGUCGGAAGUCUUGGUGGGUGUUACCUCGAAACACUGGAAUGUGGCAGACAGACUGAUACAGUCAACAAGUGGGUAAAAGCACCCUUGAUGG